UCCCAGGUUCAAGCAAUUCUCCUGCUUCAGCCUCCCGAAUAGCUGGGAUUGCAGGGCAUUCAUGUGUUUUCUUCACUCCGGUGCCCAUGAUGACUUUGCCUCUAAUUGGGAUAUUGCUACUCUUGUGGGCGAGGACUCCAAGUUUCAUCAUAACAACAGUUAAAGUAAUUGAGUGCUGCAUGUGUACAAGGACUACGUGUCAGGCGUUUGCCUACUGGAAGCUCAUUUUUUUUCUCGCAGCAUCAUGGGGGUGAUGCUUUAUUUCGAUGAAAAGGAAGCUGUUGCAUAGAGAGAUCCAAUGAGUUCCUGAAGAUCUCACAGCUCAUAAGUAGAAGUGUCAAUAUUCAAACUUAAAACUUGUAUUCAUAUCAGGUUAUUUCCCUGAUUCGUUAGCCUUACUUGAAAUUCUGUCUGUCAUUAACCCAUAUGACUACCAGUUUUGGUUUUAAGAACAUUCUUCUUAAUGAAGAAGCCAAGAGCAAUAGAGGAUUUAAAAGUAAUGCUUAUUUUCUAUCACUCACAGAAAUAGUUGAAUUAUGUCUGUGGAUAUACAUUCCUGCACAAUAGAAGUAUGAUAUUACUUUGCCUUCUCCUGACACUGGGGCUAUUUGCUUUUCUUCAUUGUUUCAACUUUUAACUUAUUAUACCCUUUAUGUUGUUUAUAAUAUGUUAUGUUAUUUAUAAAUACCCUUUAUGUUGUUCUUUGUCCUAAGACUCAUUCACACCUCUGAUUUCUCCAUAUUUCAACAUUUCUAUCAAAAACCUGUGAGGGUUUCGCUUGAUGCUUUUAUGUGUUCCACUCACCCAUAUAUCCUUGACUCAAGUCAUUAUCCCUGAGGAACCGUACUUUAGAUGUCUUCUUUCCCUUCUUUCCCUGUGGUUUAUCCUUAUUAGGCUGAUACAUAGCUAUUACAUUUUAAGGAAAAUUACAUUUUAAGGAAAACACUUGCCUCUUAGUAUAUUUGAUAAUAGCAAUAAUUUUUCUUAUCCCCUAAACUUCUGGAAAUCAGUUUCUCUGAGGUCUAAAAUGCAUAUGAGACCAGGUCUAGAACUGCUUCCCUGGAUGAAUGUGUCGAGAUACUUUUCUCCUAAGCUUCCUACUGCUGUAGUUUCAUCAAUAAAUUUUUGAUAUAAUAAUUAUCUAAGUCUAGAGCAGUAGUAACUUUUGUUAAUUCUACACUCUCAUUGGACAUAAAAAGCAAGAUAACUUCAUAACAAUUGCUUUGCUUCCAUCAAUAUAAGAUUUCCAGCCAAAUCUAAGUAGGUAAAAUUCCCCAGUUCUUAGUAAACUUCUUUGCUAUUAUAAAACAAUCCAUUUUAGAAAACCUAUUUCAUUUGCUCAGUGUUCUCAAUAGUCAGUAGCAUCCAAAAAUAUUCCUGAUGAAAUAGUGUUCUCAAUAUAGAGUCAGAUCAGUGUACAAACCUUGGUAUCAGUUUCCUCUCAUGAGCACCAUCACUGUUAGUGAUAACUAGUCUUCUCAGAGUCUUUUUACCUGUUACAAGAUGAAAUCAAAUGGCAUAAUGUGAAAGAGUAUUUUUAAAAUACAGAAAUUAUUUUAAUAAAAAUAAUUCCAGGAUGCCUUGUGUUUUUCUCCCCCUUCGAUAUUUUUACCUAAAUGAAUAUCCACUAAGCUAAAAUCAGAUAGGCCUUAGGUGGUCAUUUGUUUUGUUUAUUUUGCCUUCAUGUUAAACACUAGCUUAAAUGAAUAUUACAGAACUUUGUUAUUUCACCAAAGUCAGAGCCAAAAUAUGUUGAUAUGUAUUUUUAUGUGUCACAAUUUAAGAUAACACAACAUUUUACUAACCCAAAGAUUAUUUGUAUGACUUACUGGUCUCAUAGAGUAAUUGUUAUGGCAAAUAUGUUUCCUUAGGACUCAAUCAUAUAUAGAAGUCUGCAGGUCUAUAAAAUCAUGACAUUCUUUCAAUUAUGUAUGUAUAAGAAUAUAAUUUAUAAGCUCAUAUGCCUUGGUAUCAGACUAACUUGUGUUUGAAUUUUGGCACAAAAAAUAGUGACUAUGUGAUGGUAGGCAAGAAGUAAUUUUAACCCUCUGAGGCUCAGUGAAUUCAUCUAAAAAUAGUGAUAAAAUUUUUUACUUGCUUACUGUGAAGAAUAAACAAGGUAUUAUGAUAUAUUGUGCAUUUAAAGUUCAUUAUUACUUACUAAUUGCUAUAAUCAUUCUUAAAAAUGCCAUAGCAUACCAUUAUAAAAUUAGAGGUCAAUGGAAAGCUGUACAACAGUGUUGCACAACUCCAGGUGGUGCAAAUGGUAUUCCAUAACAUUUCAUGUAUGUGGCAGGCCCUGCAGUUGCACAAAGUCUUGGAUUUGAACUCACAUACGUUAUUCCAUUGUUUCCAGAUUCCACUAAUUCAGCAAAUAUAUGUAGGUAUUCAGAUCUAGCCAGAGACUGACACUGGGUUAGAUGGUGGGAAAACGAAGACAAAUGAGAACACCAUCCCUUUUUAAUAUGGUAUAUUAUUUAACAAAAAUAGUAGAUAAUUAAGUUAGAGGAAAAAAAAUAAUCAAGACCCUUUGUUUUCACCUGAAACUCUUUAGAGCAUGUUAGAGAAAAGCUUCUUUUCUGGGUGGAGAAGUUAGAAAAAGCUUUUUCUUGCAAAGUUGGAUGGGACAGAAUGCAAGUUUCAUGCCACAGCUCCAUAGAUUGAAGAAGUAAACCCAGGCUCAGUUAAGAUCCUAAUCAUGUUUCCUUAGCAAGGUAACUUUGUGCAAAGCACAACCUGCACAACUGUACUUGGAGAUGCUGAGUUUAUGGUAAUACAAAGAGGAUGCAUUUUACUUUGUAUAUACCAUCACGAAAAAUUCACAAUGAUGCAAACUAAUGGAACUUCAAAAUUUUGCAUUAUUUGCAUAAAGUCAAAUUAACAUGUCUUGGCUCAUUAUUGCAUUUAAUGAAAUAUGAAUCUUGUAUUUACAAUAAUUAAACAACAAUUUAAAUCUUUACUGUAGUCUUUGGAGAAAAUGCCAAAAAAUGUUGAAUUCAUACAGCAGAACUUCUCAUUUUUUAUUCCUUUAUGUCUUUCUCUUUCAAUAUCUUAUAUCCAUGGGCAAGUCAGAAUGGAGGAAAUAUUCUUCCCGUACCACUUGCUUAAGUCCCUAGAUUUUUAUAGAAAUUGGCUUUAUUUACAGGUAGAGUGAAAAUAAGUGUUGUAUUAGAGUGUGAUGUUAUAAAAAUUCUCAUUUGCAGACAUUGUUGAAUUCCACAUAGUUAGUGAGUUAAGCUGGCAUAUAUAUUUCUUGUAUCCAACACUAGGCAAGUUAGUAGUCCUGUAUUACAAAUUGCUUUUCUCUCAAAAGUCUUGUAAAACAUAACACAAACUAAAGUUUAAAUAAAACAAACUGCUGUA